rnacentral:rRNA from 1 species
AUACGAAAGGUGCAAGCGUUGUUCGGAUUUACUGGGCGUAAAGAGAUCGUAGGUGGUUUAUUAAGUCGGAUGUGAAAUCCCGGGGCUCAACCUCGGAACUGCAUUCGAUACUGGUAGACUAGAGUUUGGGAGGGGUAAGCGGAAUUCCGUGUGUAGCAGUGAAAUGCGUAGAUAUACGGAGGAACACCUGAGGCGAAGGCGGCUUACUGGACCAAUACUGACACUGAGGAUCGAAAGCGUGGGUAGCAAACAGGAUUAGAUACCCCAGUAGUCC